rnacentral:rRNA from 1 species
CAGGCUUAACACAUGCAAGUCGACGGGUAGCAUUUCAGUUUGCUUGCAAACUGGAGAUGGCGACCGGCGCACGGGUGAGUAACACGUAUCCAACCUGCCGAUAACUCGGGGAUAGCCUUUCGAAAGAAAGAUUAAUACCCGAUGGUAUAAUCAGACCGCAUGGUCUUGUUAUUAAAGAAUUUCGGUUAUCGAUGGGGAUGCGUUCCAUUAGGCAGUUGGUGAGGUAACGGCUCACCAAACCUUCGAUGGAUAGGGGUUCUGAGAGGAAGGUCCCCCACAUUGGAACUGAGACACGGUCCAAACUCCUACGGGAGGCAGCAGUGAGGAAUAUUGGUCAAUGGGCGCAGGCCUGAACCAGCCAAGUAGCGUGAAGGAUGACUGCCCUAUGGGUUGUAAACUUCUUUUAUAUGGGAAUAAAGUUUUCCACGUGUGGAAUUUUGUAUGUACCAUAUGAAUAAGGAUCGGCUAACUCCGUGCCAGCAGCCGCGGUAAUACGGAGGAUCCGAGCGUUAUCCGGAUUUAUUGGGUUUAAAGGGAGCGUAGGUGGACAGUUAAGUCAGUUGUGAAAGUUUGCGGCUCAACCGUAAAAUUGCAGUUGAUACUGGCUGUCUUGAGUACAGUAGAGGUGGGCGGAAUUCGUGGUGUAGCGGUGAAAUGCUUAGAUAUCACGAAGAACUCCGAUUGCGAAGGCAGCUCACUGGACUGCAACUGACACUGAUGCUCGAAAGUGUGGGUAUCAAACAGGAUUAGAUACCCUGGUAGUCCACACAGUAAACGAUGAAUACUCGCUGUUUGCGAUAUACAGUAAGCGGCCAAGCGAAAGCAUUAAGUAUUCCACCUGGGGAGUACGCCGGCAACGGUGAAACUCAAAGGAAUUGACGGGGGCCCGCACAAGCGGAGGAACAUGUGGUUUAAUUCGAUGAUACGCGAGGAACCUUACCCGGGCUUAAAUUGCAUUUGAAUAUAUUGGAAACAGUAUAGCCGUAAGGCAAAUGUGAAGGUGCUGCAUGGUUGUCGUCAGCUCGUGCCGUGAGGUGUCGGCUUAAGUGCCAUAACGAGCGCAACCCUUAUCUUUAGUUACUAACAGGUCAUGCUGAGGACUCUAGAGAGACUGCCGUCGCAAGAUGUGAGGAAGGUGGGGAUGACGUCAAAUCAGCACGGCCCUUACGUCCGGGGCUACACACGUGUUACAAUGGGGGGUACAGAAGGCAGCUACCUGGUGACAGGAUGCUAAUCCCAAAAGCCUCUCUCAGUUCGGAUCGAAGUCUGCAACCCGACUUCGUGAAGCUGGAUUCGCUAGUAAUCGCGCAUCAGCCAUGGCGCGGUGAAUACGUUCCCGGGCCUUGUACACACCGCCCGUCAAGCCAUGAAAGCCGGGGGUACCUAAAGUACGUAACCGCGAGGAGCGUCCUAGGGUA